rnacentral:rRNA from 1 species
UAGGGAAUCUUCGGCAAUGGACGAAAGUCUGACCGAGCAACGCCGCGUGAGUGAAGAAGGUUUUCGGAUCGUAAAACUCUGUUGUUAGAGAAGAACAAGGACGUUAGUAACUGAACGUCCCCUGACGGUAUCUAACCAGAAAGCCACGGCUAACUACGUGCCAGCAGCCGCGGUAAUACGUAGGUGGCAAGCGUUGUCCGGAUUUAUUGGGCGUAAAGCGAGCGCAGGCGGUUUCUUAAGUCUGAUGUGAAAGCCCCCGGCUCAACCGGGGAGGGUCAUUGGAAACUGGGAUACUUGAGUGCAGAAGAGGAGAGUGGAAUUCCAUGUGUAGCGGUAAAAUGCGUAGAUAUAUGGAGGAACACCAGUGGCGAAGGCGGCUCGCUGGUCUGUAACUGACGCUGAGGCUCGAAAGCGAGGGGAGCAAACAGG